rnacentral:rRNA from 1 species
GAUGAACGCUGGCGGCGUGCUUAACACAUGCAAGUCGAACGAAGCACUUUAUUUGAUUUCCUUCGGGACUGAUUAUUUUGUGACUGAGUGGCGGACGGGUGAGUAACGCGUGGGUAACCUGCCUUGUACAGGGGGAUAACAGUUGUAAACGGCUGCUAAUACCGCAUAAGCGCACGGCAUCGCAUGAUGCAGUGUGAAAAACUCCGGUGGUAUAAGAUGGACCCGCGUUGGAUUAGCUAGUUGGUGAGGUAACGGCCCACCAAGGCGACGAUCCAUAGCCGACCGGAGAGGGUGACCGGCCACAUUGGGACUGAGACACGGCCGAAACUCCUACGGGAGGCAGCAGUGGGGAAUAUUGCACAAUGGGCGAAAGCCUGAUGCAGCGACGACGCGUGAGCGAAGAAGUAUUUCGGUAUGUAAAGCUCUAUCAGCAGGGAAGAUAAUGACGGUACCUGACUAAGAAGCACCGGCUAAAUACGUG